rnacentral:lncRNA from 1 species
GGACUUUUUCUUCUUCACCAAGGCACUCCCAGCUCCUAACGCAGGGUCUAGCACUAGUCAAUAGUCAAUAUUUGAGAAAUAAAAUAUCCCCUGGUUGGAGAGAUAAUAAGCCCUUAAUCAAACCUGUUCCAAGACUUUUACUAUCAACAAGCUAAAAAGCCCAUGUCCUUUACUUGAAUUCAGAGUGCUGAACAGUGGUUGGCCAGCAACCUCUACUAAGAAGUUCUUUGCGAUCAGAGACAUUUGAAGGUAAAAUAGGGCCUUCGUCGUAAGAUGAGCCAGCCAGCCCUUUUGUCCUGAAACUGAGUACGCAAGUGCAGAGAGGUUACCUGGUUUCUCCAAGCUCACAUAGAAAUGGUGAACAUCAGGAGACGCGGGACCACUUAAAGGAUGCACAGUCCCGUAUUCAUCUCCGCAACCCCAGGACCCAGCACGGUGCCUGGUGCAAAGAAUGCACUCAGUGGGAUUGCGCCCAGGGAACGAAUGCUCUCUAAGGCCUCAUUCAACUGAACUGUACUUCCUCUCAUUACUGUCCCAAUGAUAACUUCCUAUCCGAGAACCAUUUCCAGUCACUUGAGUCAUGCGUCAUUUACUUCCUGUCCUCUGUCCUUUUAAAGUGCAGUUUGACAACAUACCAGGCACAACAGUAACAUCUGGGGGCUGCUUUGCUUCUAACGUAAGUCAAAUAGCCCAGCAUGGAAAAUACCUAGGAAAAAAGUGGGAUAUGCAAAGCAAACCUCAAAAAAAAAAAAAAAAAAAGACAAAAGCUGGUGGGCUGGCCACGGUGUCACAAAUGAAGUCUCCAGUGGCUUCAUCAUAACAACAUGUCUGAGUGUCCAUUCGCUCUGCUGAAGAAAUAGUGAUGGGUGUGAUCAAGGAAUACUGCCUGAGAUGAGUGGUAUUAAGCAACACAGGAUGGAGAAAACUGAAGCUCAGAGAAAUAAGUGACUCACAGUUUGUAUAAGUUGAUAUUUGAAAUUUG